rnacentral:rRNA from 1 species
UACGGAGGGUGCAAGCGUUAUCCGGAUUCACUGGGUUUAAAGGGUGCGUAGGUGGGCAGGUAAGUCAGUGGUGAAAUCUCCGGGCUUAACCCGGAAACUGCCAUUGAUACUAUCAGUCUUGAAUACCGUGGAGGUAAGCGGAAUAUGUCAUGUAGCGGUGAAAUGCUUAGAUAUGACAUAGAACACCAAUUGCGCAGGCAGCUUACUACACAGUAAUUGACACUGAGGCACGAAAGCGUGGGGAUCAAACAGG